GGUCCAUUGAGGCAGAUGGGGGGUAGUUGUCUUACCAUGCCGCUAAUAGAUUGCUGAAGUAUUCCCUGUUGCGAUGUAUUUGAUGAGACGGAGGGUCGCCUUGAACCUCGAAUACUGUUCAUACUUGAGCUUAGAAGUUUCUGUCAGCAGUUUCCUGUAAAAUAAAAGACAGUUUUAAAGCUUCCUGUCCUUGAAGGAAAGUUGAGGAAAUCUCUCCUAAAACUUGCAGUGGAAAAUUCUUGUUGAAGCGGAGAGAGAUUUAUGUUUGAACCUCUUCGUUCUUGGGGACCGGUGCUAGAAUGUCGUCGUAUUGGUAAACCACCUCCUGGUGUACCACCUGGAGAACUCGCGCAAGAUGGAGCUAUACGAAUCUUUGGAGUCAUU